GAUGAACGCUGGCGGCGUGCCUAAUACAUGCAAGUAGAACGCUGAAGGAGGAGCUUGCUCUUCUGGAUGAGUUGCGAACGGGUGAGUAACGCGUAGGUAACCUGCCUGGUAGCGGGGGAUAACUAUUGGAAACGAUAGCUAAUACCGCAUGACAACAGUUAUUGCAUGAUAACUGUUUAAAAGGGGCAACUGCUCCACUACCAGAUGGACCUGCGUUGUAUUAGCUAGUUGGUGAGGUAACGGCUCACCAAGGCGACGAUACAUAGCCGACCUGAGAGGGGGAUCGGGCAACACGGGAAUGGGACAAGGCCCAGAAUCCCACGGGAGGCAGCAGGAGGGAAAUCUCGGCAAUGGACGGAAGUCUGACCGAGCAACGCCGCGGGAGGGAAGAAGGUUUUCGGAUCGUAAAGCUCUGUUGUAAGAGAAGAACGAGUGUGAGAGUGGAAAGUUCACACUGUGACGGUAUCUUACCAGAAAGGGACGGCUAACUACGUG
rnacentral:rRNA from 1 species